UCCAUACAUAUUACUACCCAUCUGGAUUACCAGCAACACCAACUUACCUCCAUUUGGUUGAGCACAAAUGGCCGGAUGCAGAACAAACCGCCCAGCAUUUAAUAAUCCGGCCCAGCACUUGUUGUUGGGUUGGUUCGCGUGCUGGAGACAACU
rnacentral:snoRNA from 1 species